CUAGUGGUCCCUGUGUCUGUCUUUGGUACACGGGCCUGGCUGGGCAGUGAGGCCCCCAGGAUUGAAAAAGCAUUUGUGGCAGGCAUCAUGGCAUCGGAUGAGGGCAAGCUUUUUGUUGGAGGGCUGAGUUUCGACACCAACGAGCAGUCACUGGAGCAGGUCUUCUCAAAGUAUGGGCAGAUUUCCGAAGUGGUGGUCGUGAAAGACAGGGAGACCCAGCGGUCCCGGGGCUUUGGCUUUGUUACCUUUGAGAACAUCGAUGAUGCCAAGGACGCUAUGAUGGCCAUGAAUGGGAAGUCUGUAGAUGGGCGGCAGAUUCGAGUGGACCAGGCCGGCAAGUCGUCGGACAACCGCUCUCGUGGCUACCGAGGUGGUUCAGCAGGGGGCCGAGGCUUCUUCCGUGGGGGCCGGGGCCGGGGCCGUGGCUUCUCCAGAGGUGGAGGGGACCGAGGCUAUGGGGGAAGCCGGUUUGAGUCCCGGAGUGGGGGUUAUGGGGGCUCCAGAGACUACUACAGCAGCCGGAGUCAGGGUGGUGGUUACGGCGACCGGAGCUCAGGAGGGUCCUACCGAGACAGCUAUGACAGCUAUGGUUGAAGGAACAAGCCGAACCCAGGAAGAGGAUGCGCUACCCACAUUCUCAGGUCCCAGGAGGGACGGGUCUGGAGCGGUUUCUACCAGGGGCCACAAGCUGGAGAGGGUUGCCUACAGCCAGCUUGUUCCCCAGCCCCUCCCUGGACAGCCGUGGCUCCAGGCCGAGCACCCAGUGCAGCCCCAGGACAGACCCCCCAUGACAGCUGGAAGUGGGGUGGUGCCUGCAGGGCCUAGCCGGAAUAAAGUGUGUGUACCCAC